rnacentral:rRNA from 1 species
GACGUAGGGGGCAAGCGUUGUCCGGAAUCAUUGGGCGUAAAGCGCGUGUAGGCGGCUCGGUAAGUCUGCUGUGAAAGUCCAGGGCUCAACCCUGGGAUGCCGGUGGAUACUGUCGAGCUCGAGUCCGGAAGAGGCGAGUGGAAUUCCUGGUGUAGCGGUGAGAUGCGCAGAUAUCAGGAGGAACACCAAUGGCGAAGGCAGCUCGCUGGGACGUGACUGACGCUGAGACGCGAAAGCGUGGGGAGCAAACAGG